rnacentral:RNase_P_RNA from 1 species
CGGCCCAGGCGACUGCUGCUUUUUAAGUAGAGGAAAGUCCAUGCUCGCACCAUCUGAGAUGAUGGUAGUGAUUGCGCUAACGGAAAAAAUAACGUUAGGUAUGCAGGAGUGCAUAACGGCGGAACUAGUCUAAAACUAUGUCAUGAUGAUGUUCCUGAAGGUGCCACAGAGACGAGCUUGAUAGAAAUGUCAAGGUGGAACGAUGGUAAACCCCACAAGCGAGAAACCCAAAUUUGGUAGGGGAAGCUUCAAAGAUUAAUAAGAAGUCAAUGGAGCCAGCAUUGCUGAGAUAAAUUGUCGCCCUAGACAAAACAUGGCUUAUAGGG